AUAUAUGUGAGAGGUAAAGCAUCUUUUCUUUAAAAGGUAUUUUGUAAUGAAUUUACCAAUUGAAAGAAGCUUUCUUCUCUAGUUAUUUUCUAAAAAAGGAAAAAAACAUUUUGCUGCAUACUUACUCAGUAUGGCAGGUAUAAAACUCUUUAGAAUAAAUUCUUAGGGUGCUUUGUUUGCCUUUGUUUUUCUAUGAGGCGUCCUAUCUUGAAAAUAUUCCUUGAUUGGACUUC
rnacentral:lncRNA from 1 species